AGACAGAUAGAUAGAUAGAUAGAUAGAUAGAUAGAUAGAUAGAUAGAUAGAUAGAUAGAUAGAUUGAUUGAUACUCUUUGAAUUAAAGCGUUUAGACUUGCAGAGCAGUUUAAAUUAAGGAAUCAUUUCUCAUGAUAUUUCCUUUGAAUUAUGGACAACUAGUAACAAUAUAGCUAAUAAGAUGAAUAAAUAUUUCAUAAAUGCAUUCCAUAUAAAAUUAUUUAAGAUAACAGAAACAAUACGUAUAAUUUUACCCCUAGCCUUACUGGCACUACCAUUCAUCAAAGAUGUCAUUCUUGGUUAAAUUCAUAACUUGUAUAAAUGUCUCGUUAUGUAAUGACCACUUUCAGUAUGCAUAUAUGUUGCUUAUCGUUUACUAAUAUUUGGUGCUUUAUCUUCUGACUUCAAUGCUGUUUUUUCAUUCAUUGGAGUGAGGUGGAAAUGCCGGUCUAAUAAGUACCGACCAAGUAUUGGUGUUGAUUUAAUCUACUACACUUAUCUCCGAAUAACUUUUGACUUCGUGUUAAGGUUAGAAAUCAAUGUGUCAGUGAUAUGUAUGUAUGGUGUGAUCUUACUCAGACAAUUCUAAUGCUUUCACCAUUUUAAAUGCAGAGAAGUUUUCGAACUUAAAAAAACAGUUAAAUAAUGAUAAAAAAUUAUUCCAGUUUGAUAAAAUGUGCUACCAUUUCAAUGACACAAGUUUUACCAUUCUAAUGGAUUCUUUAGAUGUGUUCAAACACCUGAAAGCUUUCUAUUACAUCAUUAAUUAUCAUCCAUGCUAACACAUAUUGCAGCUAUUAUGUGAAUGGCUGGUGUAUGGCCUAAUGGCUAGAUUGUUGGUCUUGAUCCUGGGACCCAGUAGCACAUUGUCUCCUUGAGCAAGGUAAUCCAUUUCACAUUUCCUAAAACUGUUCAGCAACAAAUGAAUAUUAGUUAAAUUCCGAUGAAACCUUUUCUCCCUCCAGCUGCCACAUCCUAGUUGUUUUGAUGGUGGAGAGGGUGUCUAUGCCUGCUUGUAACUACAUGGGCCCCUAAACCAAUUAAAAAAGACGCAUGGCACAUACUACAAGUCCAUACUCACUUGUGAGUGAUGGCAGUGGUUUAUAUCUUCAACCUCGUUUCAGAUCCCCUUAGAAGUGAAAUAGGUAUAUAAUGCCUAUAUUAUUAAACACUUGGCUGAGGAAACCUGAAGUGGUAACUAGUCAAAACACAUCUUGCUUUUUGUAAAGAUGGGACUUUAUAUU